rnacentral:rRNA from 1 species
GUGGGGAAUAUUGGACAAUGGGCGCAAGCCUGAUCCAGCCAUGCCGCGUGCAGGAAGACGCAUCUAUGGUGUGUAAACUGCUUUUGUACGGGAAGAAACACUCCCUCGUGAGGGAGCUUGACGGUACCGUAAGAAUAAGGAUCGGCUAACUCCGUGCCAGCAGCCGCGGUAAUACGGAGGAUCCAAGCGUUAUCCGGAAUCAUUGGGUUUAAAGGGUCCGUAGGCGGUUUAAUAAGUCAGUGGUGAAAGCCCAUCGCUCAACGAUGGAACGGCCAUUGAUACUGUUAGACUUGAAUUACAAGGAAGUAACUAGAAUAUGUAGUGUAGCGGUGAAAUGCUUAGAUAUUACAUGGAAUACCAAUUGCGAAGGCAGGUUACUACUUGUGGAUUGACGCUGAUGGACGAAAGCGUGGGGAGCGAACAGGAUUAGAAACCCUGGUAGUCC